GACGAACGCUGGCGGCGUGCUUAACACAUGCAAGUCGAACGGAAAGGCCCUGCUUUUGUGGGGUGCUCGAGUGGCGAACGGGUGAGUAACACGUGAGUAACCUGCCCUUGACUUUGGGAUAACUUCAGGAAACUGGGGCUAAUACCGGAUAGGAGCUCCUGCUGCAUGGUGGGGGUUGGAAAGUUUCGGCGGUUGGGGAUGGACUCGCGACUUAUCAGCUUGUUGGUGGGGUAGUGGCUUACCAAGGCUUUGACGGGUAGCCGGCCUGAGAGGGUGACCGGCCACAUUGGGACUGAGAUACGGCCCAGACUCCUACGCGAGGCAGCAGUGGGGAAUAUUGCACAAUGGGCGGAAGCCUGAUGCAGCAACGCCGCGUGCGGGAUGACGGCCUUCGGGUUGUAAACCGCUUUCGCCUGUGACGAAGCGUGAGUGACGGUAAUGGGUAAAGAAGCACCGGCUAACUACGUG
rnacentral:rRNA from 1 species